rnacentral:rRNA from 1 species
CCUACGGGAGGCAGCAGUAGGGAAUAUUGCUCAAUGGGGGAAACCCUGAAGCAGCAACGCCGCGUGGGGGAUGAAGGUUUUAGGAUUGUAAACCCCUUUUGUUAGAGAAGUUUAUGACGGUAUCUAACGAAUAAGCACCGUCUAACUCCGUGCCAGCAGCCGCGGUAAUACGGAGGGUGCAAGCGUUACUCGGAAUUACUGGGCGUAAAGAGUGCGUAGGCGGGGUAAUAAGUGAGAUGUGAAAUUCUGUAGCUUAACGACAGAACUGCAUUUGAAACUGUAACUCUGGAGUGUGGGAGAGGUAGGUGGAAUUCGUGGUGUAGGGGUGAAAUGCGUAGAGAUCAAGAGGAACACUCAUUGCGAAGGCGACCUGCUGGAACAUAACUGACGCUGAUGCACGAAAGCGUGGGGAGCAAACAGGAUUAGAUACCCUAGUAGUC